rnacentral:rRNA from 1 species
AACGGGGGGGGGCAAGCGUUAUUCAUCGUUAUUGGGCGUAAAGGGUAUGUAGGUGGAUGUUGCCUUUUUAGUAGAAAUGACAAGGGCUAACUUUUGUCAGCGCUUUUAAAGAUAAGGGUCUAGAGAUGGAUGGGGUGAAUGGAAUUACUAAUGUAGGGGGUAAAAUGUGUUGAUAUUAGUACGAACACCAAUGGCGAAGGCAAUUUUCUCCUCGGUCUGACACUGAAAUACGAAAGCAUGGGGAUCAAACAGG